rnacentral:rRNA from 1 species
AACGGACGCUGGCGGCAGGCUUAACACAUGCAAGUCGAACGCCCUAGCAAUAGGGAGUGGCGCACGGGUGAGUAACGCGUGGGAAUAUACCGUUUAGUGGGGAAUAACGUUGGGAAACUAACGCUAAUACCGCAUACGCCCGAGAGGGGAAAGAUUUACCGCUAAACGAUUAGCCCGCGUGAGAUUAGGUAGUUGGUGGGGUAAUGGCCUACCAAGCCUACGAUCUCUAGCUGGUCUGAGAGGAUGAUCAGCCACACUGGAACUGAGACACGGUCCAGACUCCUACGGGAGGCAGCAGUGGGGAAUAUUGGACAAUGGGCGCAAGCCUGAUCCAGCCAUGCCGCGUGAGUGAUGAAGGCCUUAGGGUUGUAAAGCUCUUUCGCCGAUGAAGAUAAUGACGGUAGUCGGAGAAGAAGCCCCGGCUAACUUCGUGCCAGCCGCCGCGGUAA